rnacentral:rRNA from 1 species
UUGGUUGAUCCUGCCAGUAGUCAUAUGCUUGUCUAUAAGGCUAAGCCAUGCAUGUCUAAGAAUAAGCCCCAGAACGGUGAAUCUGCGAAUGGCUCAUUAAAUCAGUUAUUGUUUAUUUGAUGGUACCUUACUACAUGGAUAACCGUAGUAAUUCUAGAGCUAAUACAUGCGCCAAGCCCCGACUUCUUCACGGAGGAAGGGGUGCAUUUAUUAGAUUCAAACCAUCGUUCGGGUGUCAAAGCCCGUUCUUUUGAUGGUGAGUCAUAAUAACUGAGCGAAUCGAAUGGCUUUCACGCCGUCGAUGCUUCAUUCAAAUUUCUGCCCUAUCAGCUUUCGAUGGUAGGAUCUUGGCCUACCAUGGCUAUAACGGGUAACGGGGAAUUAGGGUUCGGUUCCGGAGAGGGAGCUUGAGAAACGGCUACCACAUCCAAGGAUGGCAGCAGGCGCGCAAAUUACCCAAUCCCGACACGGGGAGGUAGUGACAAAAAAUAACAAUGCUGGACUAUUUCUAGUCCGGCAAUUGGAAUGAGAGUAAUUUAAACCAAUUCUCGAGGAGCCAUUGGAGGGCAAGUCUGGUGCCAGCAGCCGCGGUAAUUCCAGCUCCAAUAGCGUAUAUUAAAGUUGUUGCAGUUAAAAAGCUCGUAGUCUGACUUUUUCGGCUGGCGGUUUUCAGCGCGUCCGGUUUUUUCAUUAAGAUCGUUGCACGUGCGCCGCCUGGUCGAACGAGGGCACCUCUUCCCCCCUUCACCGGGGGCGGGGGGGUGUUUUUGUACUUUGGAGGAACGCUUACCGUGCUUUUAAUUAAGUGCGCGCGGGAUUCCGAUAGUUUACUUUGAGAAAAAUAGAGUGUUCAAAGCAGGCGUUUAUUGCCUUUGAAUACAUUAGCAUGGGAUAAUGGAAUAGGACAUUGGUUCUAUUUUCUGAUUUGGUUCGGGGACCGAUGUAAUGAUUAAUAGGGACAGUUGGGGGCAUUCAUAUUCCAUGGCUAGAGGUGAAAUUCUUGGAUUCAUGGAAGAUGAACUACUGCGAAAGCAUAUGUCAAAGAUGUUUUCAUUGAUCAAGAACGAAAGUUAGGGGAGCAAAGACGAUCAGAUACCGUCGUAGUCUUAACCAUAAACGAUGCCGACUAGGGAUCGGUGAGAG